UCACUUCUGCAUCUUCCUGCAGAAAGUUCAAAAUUCUAUUAACUUUCAACAUAAUGCUAAUUCAACAGGAAUGAUGCAUAAAACACCUAAUUUAAAUGGGGACUACUGUUAGCCUUUUAAACAAUAAUGACAAACAACAGACAUUAUUUCUUGAAUUAAGAAGAGACAUGUAUCUUUAAAUUUCUCCAAAUACAAAAAAUCAGCUCUCAAAUGCUUCAGGUGUUUUCCAAAAUCUUACCUGCAUGGAGUUCUAGAGAUUCUUCCUUGUCAGAAGUUUUUAGAUCACCAAAUUCUUGCAUGAAAGUGGUUUCUGAAGGAAAACGACUUGGUUCCAAGAAAUGGAGCAAGCUGAAAAGCUCUUC